rnacentral:rRNA from 1 species
UACAGAGGUCCCGAGCGUUGUUCGGAUUCAUUGGGCGUAAAGGGUGCGUAGGCGGUCUGCUAAGUUUGAUGUGAAAUCCCGGGGCUCAACCCUGGAAUUGCAUUGAAUACUGGUGGACUAGAGUACUGGAGAGGAAACUGGAAUUUACGGUGUAGCAGUGAAAUGCGUAGAGAUCGUAAGGAAGACCAGUGGCGAAGGUGAGUUUCUGGACAGUAACUGACGCUGAGGCACGAAGGCCAGGGGAGCAAACGGG